rnacentral:rRNA from 1 species
CUACGGGUUGCUGCAGUGAGGAAUAUUGGGCAAUGGAGGCAACUCUGACCCAGCCAUGCCGCGUGCAGGAAGACGGCCCUCUGGGUUGUAAACUGCUUUUGUUUGGGAAUAAACCCUUCUACGUGUAGGAGGCAGAAGGUACCAUUCGAAUAAGGAUCGGCUAACUCCGUGCCAGCAGCCGCGGUAAUACGGAGGAUCCAAGCGUUAUCCGGAUUUAUUGGGUUUAAAGGGUCCGUAGGCGGGUCUUUAAGUCAGUGGUGAAAGCCCACAGCUCAACUGUGGAACUGCCAUUGAUACUGGAGAUCUUGAGUGUAGUAGAAGUAGGCGGAAUAGGGCAUGUAGCGGUGAAAUGCAUAGAUAUGCCCUAGAACACCGAUUGCGAAGGCAGCUUACUAUGUUACAACUGACGCUGAGGGACGAAAGCGUGGGGAGCAAACAGGAUUAGAUACCCCAGUAGUC